GACGAACGCUGGCGGCGUGCUUAACACAUGCAGGUCGAACGGAAAGGCCCUGCUUUUGUGGUGUGCUCGAGUGGCGAACGGGUGAGUAACACGUGAGUAACCUGCCCUUGACUUUGGGAUAACUUCAGGAAACUGGGGCUAAUACCGGAUAGGAGCUCCUGCUGCAUGGUGGGGGUUGGAAAGUUUCGGCGGUUGGGGAUGGACUCGCGGCUUAUCAGCUUGUUGGUGGGGUAGUGGCUUACCAAGGCUUUGACGGGUAGCCGGCCUGAGAGGGUGACCGGCCACAUUGGGACUGAGAUACGGCCCAGACUCCUACGUGAGGCAGCAGUGGGGAAUAUUGCACAAUGGGCGGAAGCCUGAUGCAGCAACGCCGCGUACGGGAUGACGGCCUUCGGGUUGUAAACCGCUUUCGCCUGUGACGAAGCGUGAGUGACGGUAAUGGGUAAAGAAGCACCGGCUAACUACGUG
rnacentral:rRNA from 1 species